AAUGAACGCUGGCGGUGGGCCUAACACAUGCAAGUCGAACGGCAGCACAGUAAGAGUUUGCCCUUACGGGUGGCGAGUGGCGGACGGGUGAGGAAUAGAUCGGCAACCACUAAUACGGGGGGAAUAACGUAGAAAAAGUGACGCUAAUACAGAAUACGACCUACGGCAGAAAGCAGUGGUGAAAGGCGGCUUGGGCGACUGAAAUAGAUGAAGCCGGACCGGCUUAGCUAGUUGGUAAGGGAACGGCUUACCAAGGCGACGAAGCGUGGCCGAGCUGAGAGGAUGAUCGGCCACACUGGAACUGAGACACGGUCCAGACUCCUACGGGAGGCAGCAGUAGGGAAUCUUCCGCAAUGGGCGCAAGCCUGAUGCAGCCAUACCGCGUGGGUGAAGAAGGCCUUCGGGUCGUAAAGCCCUUUUGUUGGGAAAGAACAACUGCGGGUUAAUCCCCCGCUGUUCUGACGGUACCCAAAGAGUAAGCACCGGCUAACUUCGUG
rnacentral:rRNA from 1 species